GAAACAGGUUAAUAUUCCUGUACUUGGUGUUACUGCGAAGGGGGGACGGAGAAGGCUAGGCUAGCCGGGCGACGGUUGUCCCGGUUUAAGCGUGUAGGGGGUGUGACCUGGUAAAUCCGGUUGCAUACUAACCCUGAGGCGUGAUGACGAUGCACUACGGUGCAGAAGUAGUUGAUGCCCUGCUUCCAGGAAAAGCCUCUAAGC
rnacentral:rRNA from 1 species